GACAGAGGGUGCAAACGUUGUUCGGAAUUACUGGGCGUAAAGCGCGUGUAGGCUGCUUCGCAAGUCGGAUGUGAAAGCCCUGGGCUCAACCCCAGGAAGUGCAUUCGAAACUGCAAAGCUGGAGCCUGGAGAGGAAGGCGGAAUUCUCGGUGUAGAGGUGAAAUUCGUAGAUAUCGAGAGGAACACCGGUGGCGAAGGCGGCCUUC
rnacentral:rRNA from 1 species